UACGUAGGGUGCAAGCGUUGUCCGGAAUUAUUGGGCGUAAAGAGCUCGUAGGCGGUCUGUCCCGUCUGCUGUGAAAACUCGGGGCUUAACCCCGGGCCUGCAGUGGGUACGGGCAGACUAGAGUGCGGUAGGGGAGACUGGAAUUCCUGGUGUAGCGGUGAAAUGCGCAGAUAUCAGGAGGAACACCGGUGGCGAAGGCGGGUCUCUGGGCAACAACGGACGCUGAGGAGCGAAAGCGUGGGAGCGAACAGG
rnacentral:rRNA from 1 species